UACGUAGGGGGCGAGCGUUGUCCGGAUUUAUUGGGCGUAAAGAGCUCGUAGGCGGUUUGUCGCGUCGAAUGUGAAAACCCGGGGCUCAACCCCGGGCCUGCAUUCGAUACGGGCAGACUAGAGUUCGGUAGGGGAGUCUGGAAUUCCUGGUGUAGCGGUGAAAUGCGCAGAUAUCAGGAAGAACACCCGUGGCUAAGGCGGUUCUCUAGUACGGUACUGACGCUGAGACGCGAAAGCGUGGGGAGCGAACAGG
rnacentral:rRNA from 1 species